rnacentral:siRNA from 1 species
AUAAAGCGGGUUGCAAGGUACC